UCCAAACUUUUUUCAUCUUUUUUUCUCUUCAUAAUUCUUCAAAUUCCAAACUCUAAUCCUCUUUUGUAUCUUAAUUCUCCAAAUCACAAUCAUGGGGUUAUCGAAAUAGUUGUAAAACCGACAAAAUUGUUCUUCAAAUCCGACGAGCUCGUCCUUCAACAACGCCUCUAAGAUUGCUCUUCUCUCACUAACAAGUGUUUCAGGUUCAAGAGAAAACUCUGCUAACAUUUUUACUCUACAUUUUCCAUUGAUAUUCAGGGUCAAGAAUGAAAGCAUGUGUUGAUGCCUCCUUGCUUGGACUUGUUGAUUCAUUUAUCCAAGUAUAUGGUAGCAUUGGAAGAACACAUUUAGCCAAGUAUUUCAAUUAUGCUAACUUGCAUAUACAGAAUACCAAAGCCAUUGAGUGUUGUGGCCAAUGGAAACCCAAUCUCCAGGAAGUUCUGUUGCUGCCUGCUCCCCACCCAAUGGAGCAAAUUGCCCAAAAUGCUUAUACCUUUUCAUAAUAACAAGAUAUCAUCAUGAAUUCCAAAUAAAGAAAACAAUAUUUCUUUUGCAGUUGUUCCACAUUGUCUCUUUCUCUCUUUCAUUGCGAAUAUUAACUUGUCUGCAUAUGUAUAUUGGUGUAGUUGUGUUGCUAUCUGUUGCUGCUGCCUAUUGGAUGUCUGCUUCUAAAAAGUUCAAUUUCUAGUUUUGCAGUCCACUGCUCUCUACCACACUCCCUUGUGAAAUGGAUUCAAUUGCAAAGAUGUUGCAAUGUGAGCCUAGUUUGUUGUUAAAACACUGAAUUGCCAGUCUUGGAAUGGUAGGAGUUUGUGCUUGCUUCUUGCAACCCGGUUACAAUGUAUACCUGUGCAGUUGCUGGAAGAGUCUUCACUUAUGAACCUGCAACA